GCUGGGCAAGGGUGCGGUGGCGCACACCUGUAAUCCCAGUGACUCAGGAGGCUGAGGCAGGAGGAUCCCAGUUCAAAGUCAGCUUCAGCAACUUACCAAGUCCCUCAGCAACUCAGAGAGACCCUGUCUCUA
rnacentral:sRNA from 1 species